AAUGUUUCAACAACCAAUUCUUCCUUAAUCAUAAACUAACCAAGAAAUGUUUGUUGAUUGAUUCUUGUUGAUCAAACAGUCCUGGGAAUGUUCUCAAGGUUUAACUCAUCAAUAGCUUUGAGAACUAGAAGAACCUGGUUCUGAUCGUUGAACUCAACUACAUGACCUGCUCAACUAGAGUGCCUUUUCUCUUAGUUUAAGAACUAGUCGCCAUUGUGUAUCAAGACAGCUUAAAUAAU
rnacentral:lncRNA from 1 species